GUGCUCGCUUCGGCAGCACAUAUACUAAAAUUGGAACGAUACAGAGAAGAUUAGCAUGGCCCCUGCGCAUAAAGAUUAUCUACAGAAACAUUGCAAAAUUAA